rnacentral:rRNA from 1 species
AAAAAAGGUAAGCUACUAAGAGCGAAUGGUGGAUGCCUUGACUGGUAAAGGCGAUGAAGGACGUACUAGACUGCGAUAAGCUACGGGGAGCUGUCAAGAAGCUUUGAUCCGUAGAUUUCCGAAUGGGGCAACCCAAUGUAUAGAGAUAUACAUUACCUAUAUAGGAGCGAACGAGGGGAAUUGAAACAUCUUAGUACCCUCAGGAAAAGAAAUCAAUAGAGAUUGCGUCAGUAGCGGCGAGCGAAAGCGCAAGAGGGCAAACCCAGUGCUUGCACUGGGGGUUGUAGGACUGCAAUGUGCAAGAGGUGAGUUUAGCAGAACAUUCUGGAAAGUAUAGCCAUAGAGGGUGAUAGUCCCGUAUGCGAAAAACAAACCUUAGCUAGCAGUAUCCUGAGUAGGGCGGGACACGAGAAAUCCUGUCUGAAGCUGGGUCGACCACGAUCCAACCCUAAAUACUAAUACCAGAUCGAUAGUGCACAAGUACCGUGAGGGAAAGGUGAAAAGAACUGAGGUGAUCAGAGUGAAAUAGAACCUGAAACCAUUUGCUUACAAUCAUUCAGAGCACUAUGUAGCAAUACAGUGUGAUGGACUGCCUUUUGCAUAAUGAGCCUGCGAGUUGUGGUGUCUGGCAAGGUUAAGCAAACGCGAAGCCGUAGCGAAAGCGAGUCUGAAUAGGGCGCUUAGUCAGAUGCUGCAGACCCGAAACGAAGUGAUCUAUCCAUGAGCAAGUUGAAGCUAGUGUAAGAACUAGUGGAGGACUGAACCCAUAGGCGUUGAAAAGCCCCGGGAUGACUUGUGGAUAGGGGUGAAAGGCCAAUCAAACUUCGUGAUAGCUGGUUCUCUCCGAAAUAUAUUUAGGUAUAGCGUUGUGUCGUAAUAUAAGGGGGUAGAGCACUGAAUGGGCUAGGGCAUACACCAAUGUACCAAACCCUAUCAAACUCCGAAUACCUUAUAUGUAAUCACAGCAGUCAGGCGGCGAGUGAUAAAAUCCGUCGUCAAGAGGGAAACAACCCAGACUACCAGCUAAGGUCCCUAAAUCUUACUUAAGUGGAAAACGAUGUGAAGUUACUUAAACAACCAGGAGGUUGGCUUAGAAGCAGCCAUCCUUUAAAGAAAGCGUAAUAGCUCACUGGUCUAGUGAUUUUGCGCGGAAAAUAUAACGGGGCUAAAGUAAGUACCGAAGCUGUAGACUUGAUUUUAUCAAGUGGUAGGAGAGCGUUCUAUUUGCGCCGAAGGUAUACCGGUAAGGAGUGCUGGAGCGAAUAGAAGUGAGCAUGCAGGCAUGAGUAGCGAUAAUUAAUGUGAGAAUCAUUAACGCCGUAAACCCAAGGUUUCCUACGCGAUGCUCGUCAUCGUAGGGUUAGUCGGGUCCUAAGUCGAGUCCGAAAGGGGUAGACGAUGGCAAAUUGGUUAAUAUUCCAAUACCAACAUUAGUGUGCGAUGGAAGGACGCUUAGGGCUAAGGGGGCUAGCGGAUGGAAGUGCUAGUCUAAGGUCGUAGGAGGUUAUACAGGCAAAUCCGUAUAACAAUACUCCGAGAACUGAAAGGCUUUUUGAAGUCUUCGGAUGGAUAGAAGAACCCCUGAUGCCAUCGAGCCAAGAAAAGUUUCUAAGUUUAGCUAAUGUUGCCCGUACCGUAAACCGACACAGGUGGGUGGGAUGAGUAUUCUAAGGCGCGUGGAAGAACUCUCUUUAAGGAACUCUGCAAAAUAGCACCGUAUCUUCGGUAUAAGGUGUGGUUCGCUUCGUAUUAGGAUUUACUCCGAAAGCGAAGAAACUUACAACAAAGAGUCCCUCCCGACUGUUUACCAAAAACACAGCACUCUGCUAACUCGUAAGAGGAUGUAUAGGGUGUGACGCCUGCCCGGUGCUCGAAGGUUAAUUGAUGGGGUUAGCAUUAGCGAAGCUCUUGAUCGAAGCCCGAGUAAACGGCGGCCGUAACUAUAACGGUCCUAAGGUAGCGAAAUUCCUUGUCGGUUAAAUACCGACCUGCAUGAAUGGCGUAACGAGAUGGGAGCUGUCUCAAAGAGGGAUCCAGUGAAAUUGUAGUGGAGGUGAAAAUUCCUCCUACCCGCGGCAAGACGGAAAGACCCCGUGGACCUUUACUACAGCUUGACACUGCUAUUUGGAUAAGAAUGUGCAGGAUAGGUGGGAGGCUUUGAGUAUAUGACGCCAGUUGUAUAUGAGCCAUUGUUGAGAUACCACUCUUUCUUAUUUGGGUAGCUAACCAGCUUGAGUUAUCCUCAAGUGGGACAAUGUCUGGUGGGUAGUUUGACUGGGGCGGUCGCCUCCCAAAUAAUAACGGAGGCUUACAAAGGUUGGCUCAGAACGGUUGGAAAUCGUUCGUAGAGUAUAAAGGUAUAAGCCAGCUUAACUGCAAGACAUACAAGUCAAGCAGAGACGAAAGUCGGUCUUAGUGAUCCGGUGGUUCUGUGUGGAAGGGCCAUCGCUCAAAGGAUAAAAGGUACCCCGGGGAUAACAGGCUGAUCUCCCCCAAGAGCUCACAUCGACGGGGAGGUUUGGCACCUCGAUGUCGGCUCAUCGCAUCCUGGGGCUGGAGCAGGUCCCAAGGGUAUGGCUGUUCGCCAUUUAAAGCGGUACGCGAGCUGGGUUCAGAACGUCGUGAGACAGUUCGGUCCCUAUCUGCCGUGGGCGUAAGAAGAUUGAAGAGAUUUGACCCUAGUACGAGAGGACCGGGUUGAACAAACCACUGGUGUAGCUGUUGUUCUGCCAAGAGCAUCGCAGCGUAGCUAAGUUUGGAAAGGAUAAACGCUGAAAGCAUCUAAGCGUGAAGCCAACUCUAAGAUGAAUCUUCUCUAAGCUCUCUAGAAGACUACUAGUUUGAUAGGCUGGGUGUGUAAUGGAUGAAAGUCCUUUAGCUGACCAGUACUAAUAGAGCGUUUGGCUUAUCUUUAAUAAAGCAU